rnacentral:rRNA from 1 species
AGCAGCCGCGGUAAUUCCAGCUCCAAUAGCGUACAUUAAAGUUGUUGCAGUUAAAAAGCUCGUAGUUGAAUUUCGGGAUCAGUACGCUGGUCAUGCCUUUGGUAUGCACUGGUGUCACUGGUUUCUCCCUUCUGAAGAUCCGUGAUGUCAUUAAUUUGGUGUCGCGGGGAAUCAGGACUGUUACUUUGAAAAAUUAGAGUGUUUAAAGCAGGCUCACGCUUGAAUACAUUAGCAUGGAAUAAUGAAAUAGGACGUUUGACCCUAUUUUGUUGGUUCUAGGAUCGACGUAAUGAUUAAUAGGGAUAGUUGGGGGCAUUAGUAUUCAAUUGUCAGAGGUGAAAUUCUUGGAUUUAUUGAAGACUAACUACUGCGAAAGCAUUUGCCAAGGAUGUUUUCAUUAAUCAAG